GACGAACGCUGGCGGCGUGCCUAAUACAUGCAAGUAGAACGCAGGUGCGAACGGUUGAGUAAGGCGGAGGUAACUGCCUUAAAGUGGGGGAUAAAUAUUGGAAACGCUAGCUAACACCGCAUACUUUGAGUUGGACUUGCGUUGUAUUAGCUAGUUGGUGAGGUAAAGGCUCACCAAGGCGACGAUACAUAGCCCACCUGAGAGGGGGAUCCGCCACCAGUGGGCUGGAGAACGGCCCAGACCUCCACGGGAGGGAGCAGGAGGGAAACUUCGGGAAAUGACGGAAGUCUGAACGGGCAACGCCCCGGGGGUGGAGAAGGUUUUCGGGUCGGAAAGCUCUGUUGUUAGGGAAGCGGUAUCUAACCAGAAAGCGACGGCUAACUACGUGCCAGCCGCCGCGGUAAUUC
rnacentral:rRNA from 1 species